UAGGGAAUCUUCGGCAAUGGACGAAAGUCUGACCGAGCAACGCCGCGUGAGUGAAGAAGGUUUUCGGAUCGUAAAACUCUGUUGUUAGAGAAGAACAAGGACGUUAGUAACUGAACGUCCCCUGACGGUAUCUAACCAGAAAGCCACGGCUAACUACGUGCCAGCAGCCGCGGUAAUACGUAGGUGGCAAGCGUUGUCCGGAUUUAUUGGGCGUAAAGCGAGCGCAGGCGGUUUCUUAAGUCUGAUGUGAAAGCCCCCGGCUCAACCGGGGAGGGUCAUUUGAAACUGGUAGACUUGAGUGCAGAAGAGGAGAGUGGAAUUCCAUGUGUAGCGGUGUAAUGCGUAGAUAUAUGGAGGAACACCAGUGGCGAAGACGGCUCUCUGGUCUGUAACUGACGCUGAGGAUCGAAAGCGUGGGGAGCAAACAGG
rnacentral:rRNA from 1 species